CACGUGGGGAACCUGCCCCAUAGUCUGGGAUACCACUUGGAAACAGGUGCUAAUACCGGAUAAGAAAGCGGAUCGCAUGAUCAGCUUUUAAAAGGCGGCGUAAGCUGUCGCUAUGGGAUGGCCCCGCGGUGCAUUAGCUAGUUGGUAAGGUAAAGGCUUACCAAGGCGAUGAUGCAUAGCCAGUUGAGAGACUGAUCGGCCACAUUGGGACUGAGACACGGCCCAAACUCCUACGGGAGGCAGCAGCC
rnacentral:rRNA from 1 species